CUGCACGCCUUGUUGUCAACAACAAAUUUAAACAGCAAUCACAUACAUAAAUCAAAGUUUACUUGGGAAUUAAAAACAGGGCCUGUUUUGGAUUGGCCCUCUUGUGCAACAAAGCAGUCUCUCAAAUCUAUCUAACCUAGAAUAUAAAUUGCAUCCGAUUGUUGUACUUCCCACCCAUCAGACUUUUACCUCUUUGACAAGCUUUCCAAUUUCGUGUGAAUGUUUGUCUUUCACACAGAAGCCAAGUCAACUUCUCUCAACCGAAAGUGUGAUUGCUCAUAUACCUAAUAAUCAUUGUUUAUACGAAAACCUACUUACCUGCUUCUAUGUUAAAUGAAAAAAAUAUGCUUCCCCUUCGCUAUUUUUGAUCAAAUGACUCGUCAACAAUUAAAGGACAUCAAAUGGUUUAUGCACGAAACAUUUCUCCCUAGAGAAGUUCAAUUCCUGAAAAUCACAUUUGGCAGACUCCAUCAGACUAUUAACUUGUUUCUCUAACUUUCAAAUUUGCAUAAAAGAUUUUCUUUUACUUUGAAAGCCAAGUCAACUUCUAUCAACUGUAAGUGCAACUGCACAAAAACCCGAUGAAUCAUUGUUAAAAAAUGUCACAUCUAAAUACAUAUUGAAAUGAUUAAGCUCGGAUGCAUAGACUAUAAUAAACCUUGGUUCACAAUAUCAAUUUUCUUCCAGAAAUUAAAACCAAAAUAGGAUGCCUCUCAGCCUGGGGUUUAAGCAGGAUUCAUUGUGGAGUUGGCAUAAAGCUUCAUUUGCUAGACGCAGUUCCACAAUCAUGAAGAAAUAAAUAAUGUAAACAUUGCAU
rnacentral:lncRNA from 1 species